GACGAACGCUGGCGGCGUGCUUAACACAUGCCAGUCAUACGGUAAGGCCCUUUCGGGGGUACACGAGUGGCGAACGGGUGAGUAACACGUGAGUAACCUGCCCACAACUUUGGGAUAACGCUAGGAAACUGGUGCUAAUACUGGAUAUGUGCUCCUGCUGCAUGGUGGGGGUUGGAAAGCUCCGGCGGUUGUGGAUGGACUCGCGGCCUAUCAGCUUGUUGGUGGGGUAGUGGCCUACCAAGGCGGCGACGGGUAGCCGGCCUGAGAGGGUGACCGGCCACAUUGGGACUGAGAAACGGCCCAGACUCCUACGGGAGGCAGCAGUGGGGAAUAUUGCACAAUGGGCGCAAGCCUGAUGCAGCAACGCCGCGUGCGGGAUGACGGCCUUCGGGUUGUAAACCGCUUUCAGCAGGGACGAAGCUUUUUGUGACGGUACCUGCAGAAGAAGCACCGGCUAACUACGUG
rnacentral:rRNA from 1 species